UGGGGAAUAUUGCACAAUGGGCGCAAGCCUGAUGCAGCCAUGCCGCGUGUAUGAAGAAGGCCUUCGGGUUGUAAAGUACUUUCAGCGGGGAGGAAGGGAGUAAAGUUAAUACCUUUGCUCAUUGACGUUACCCGCAGAAGAAGCACCGGCUAACUCCGUGCCAGCAGCCGCGGUAAUACGGAGGGUGCAAGCGUUAAUCGGAAUUACUGGGCGUAAAGCGCACGCAGGCGGUUUGUUAAGUCAGAUGUGAAAUCCCCGGGCUCAACCUGGGAACUGCAUCUGAUACUGGCAAGCUUGAGUCUCGUAGAGGGGGGUAGAAUUCCAGGUGUAGCGGUGAAAUGCGUAGAGAUCUGGAGGAAUACCGGUGGCGAAGGCGGCCCCCUGGACGAAGACUGACGCUCAGGUGCGAAAGCGUGGGGAGCAAGCAGG
rnacentral:rRNA from 1 species